CACACACUCACGCAGCAAGGAGACACAGGUAUCAUGACCCUGAUCGAGGACAACGUCCACACAGAAUCCAACAAUAGACGCCCUCUUCACAUAUGAACUUUGAAGCAGAGUAAUAAUGAGGAACUUCUGAGGGAGUUUUUCUUGUUUUUUUUUGUGUUUUCCACCUCACAUUGAAUUUUUCUGAAAUUCAGGGAUUGCUGCAGCAGCAUGAGUGUGAAGAGGAAGAAGGCUGGGCUGGUCAUCAGCUGGCAGAAGUCUUUCGCUAUCCUGGCGCCUUGGAGGAAAGGGAAAGCAGGCAGGGAUGCGGUGCUGGACACAGAGGUCGUCUUGACCAAAAUGAAGUUCUUCAGCAACAUUCCCGAGAAGCUCCUUGUUGCCGAUGACUCUUUGUCUACCAUCUCCACACCAUCAGUUUCUGACCAGGCCGUCUCUCCCACUAAUGCCUCUAAGGUGAAUUCCGACCCGGAUGACAAGUCCAGACAGCCUUGGUUGGAGACGGGCUCGGACUACCUGUCUGCUAUUUUUUCCGAGUCUGACCUCCCAAGGCUGUACAAGUUUGAGUCGGAGGACUCUGGAGUGGAGCUACCCAGUGGGGCUAAUUCUCCAUCCACGCCGACAGGCUCUGAGCAGAGCUUUGUGGUCCACAGCCGGGAGUCCUCCUGUGACUCUUGUAACCUGAACUCUGACCCCAACACUCUCCCUGAUGAACACAGCUCUGAGAUUAAGCAGGAGGUGGAUAGCGCUACAGUGGAUAAUGGUUCCCUACCCUCAGAGGACCUUAGCUCUUCAUCUGUGACUGUAGAACUGCACAUAGGUGAGGACACGGACCAGUGCAGGGCUUCAGAAACCAGCCCUGAAAGAGACACUGAGAAAUCUGAACAGCACGAGGAGACCACAGCUGUGACUGAAAGGACGUCCUCAGAGGACACCAGGCAGCAGCCUUUAACAGGAGCAUGUGAUGACUUUGAGACAAAGCCUUUAAGGAGGAGUGCCACCAUUGACAGCCUGAAGGAGUACAUGGAUGAAUGCUGCAGUCUAAGUGAGGCACAACAAGCCAGCUCCAACCCUCUGGGAUCAGGCCUGGGUUACCUGGAGCACAUCUGCCAGCUCAUUGAGAAGAUUGGCCAGCUGCAGGAGCUCAACCUACAGCUGCAGAGGCAAAUCUGCUGUCUGCAGAAGGACAGCAGGAAGACUAAGACGAAAGAGGAUUUCUUCCAGCAGCACUGCAGCUGUGGAGCAGCAAGCUUAGCCUUCCAGGAUGUCCAGAAAAGACACUCUAGAAGUGAAUAUACAUCUCCCAUUGGAAGCCCCUCUGACCUGUCCACCAUCCCGGAGGUCGUUCGGAACCCACUCAUGUCAACCAGGAGAAGCAUGAGCAGUGACGGCCUGUGGAGGAGAAGCCUGUAUCGAAGGAGUUACACUGAGGGGGAGGUCCGCUCCCUCAGGGACAGCACUGAAGGCCUGUCUGUCCCGCAGCGCAGGCUGAGUGACAACUACACAUGGGGCCGAGUCAAAGACCUUGUAAGGAAGACGAAGGUGAGGAAUCAGAGUGGGCUUGGACUAACCUCCACAUCACUGAAGAUGUCCUGCCCACAACUCUACAGGCCUGAUCUGGGACCAGUUGAACCCGCAGGCAGAAACCGGAACUCCAUGAUUUUCUUGGGCCACCAGAGCAAACUGGACUUCCCUUGGCUUCAAUAAACAUCCUGAUCAGAUCCACAUGGGUGUCAACAUUGGGGAGGAUGAUAAGUCAGCCAGAGAUGAGUCAAGACUGGAAGAGAAAGGAGAAAAGGGAGGGAAUGACGAAGAAACUGAGGGAAUGAAAGGAGAAGACUGUAGCAUGAGGGAUACUGUUGUUGUAUGUAUGGGAGAAUUAGUGACAUUUGUGUUAACUGUGUAUUCAGUGUGAUGGAAAUGUAAGAAGAUGAGGGUACUACUACACUGUGACAUAACUUUACUGUUAAUAUUUACACUAAUAUACUGUUUUCAUUAGGAUGCUGCGAAGCCUAAUGUGAACACAUUUCAUAAUGUUGUAAAUAUGUCAUAGACACAUGGCUCUGUACAGUGAGUGUGUGAUGUUGUAUAACCAGAGCGCAUGAGGUAAUGUGUAUGAAGAGUGCAGGAGAUAAACCCUGCAGAGUUCCAGUGUGUGUGGCUCAUCCAUCAUGUUAACGGAUGAGCUGCAGAGAAUAGGUCAGGCAGAAAGUGCAGCCUCACCGCAGGCUCUCAUUUUAAGUAACAUUUCAAAUUCCUCAACUGCAGCAAACUGCAGUCAGGAUUCAGCUGUACAUUUACAGGGAUGUCAUAACAGGGUCAUCCCCACUGUUCCGUGCCAUUUCAGCUUGAUAUCUUUCUAUAUAAAAAAACAUUGGUCCAGCUUAUGUUCUAAAUAAUCCAUAUGUAACACACACCAAAUGUCCACCAUGUUAUCAAGAACAAAGACUUCCAACAUGCUAUAAAUAAGCCUAACAACAUGGACAUUUUAUGGUUUAUUAAAUCAGUACUCGGAUUUGCUGAUAAAUAAAGCCUAUGUGGACCAUAGACCA
rnacentral:lncRNA from 1 species